rnacentral:rRNA from 1 species
UACGUAGGGGGCUAGCGUUAUCCGGAAUUACUGGGCGUUAAGGGUGCGUAGGUGGUUUCUUAAGUCAGAGGUGAAAGGCUACGGCUCAACCGUAGUAAGCCUUUGAAACUGGGGAACUUGAGUGCAGGAGAGGAGAGUGGAAUUCCUAGUGUAGCGGUGAAAUGCGUAGAUAUUAGGAGGAACACCAGUUGCGAAGGCGGCUCUCUGGACUGUAACUGACACUGAGGCACGAAAGCGUGGGGAUCGAACAGG